UUUCCCGAGGGAGGAAAAGGAGGUGCUGAAAGGGGAUGGGAGCAACAAGUAUAAAUCGAAGAGUAUGUUUUGAUUCUGAGUUGCAUUGCACAGUGUUUUCAUUGUUCUAAGAAAUUCAUGGAAUUGUAUGGAACAUUCCUUCAUGUGAUAGGCAUAUUUGUUUACUAAAUCAAACUGCAUAGUUCCAACAAACAGACAUUCAAAUGCACCAUUUUACACUCUGAAAGUAGGAAGUGCAACUUCUUUAGUGUUUAGAAUGGAUCAGGUGUACUUCAAAUCUUUUCAGUUCUAAAUAAUUAUGAACAUUCUCAAUCAUCAUGUGUGCAAAAAGUGGGCUUAUACAGAUUUGUACAAUUCAUUGUAACAUCAUGGAGCUGAAACUAAUUAUGAUUAAUUUGGUCGUUCUCUGAUGUGUGAUUACGUUAAUGCAAUUGGCACCUUUGUAAUUCGCUAAGCUAAAUUCAAUAUUUCAGGUGUUCUGCGACAACUCAAGUCACCUUCAUAAAUUCUGGAAGCCAACUGUUUUGACACCAGGCCAAGGAGAUAGAGUGCAUUAUUUAGUCAGUUACAAAAAUGCAGUAGCCAAAAACACUAACCAUUUUCCACAUAAAAAACCAUUAAUUACCGUUCCCUCUCCAUUUGCCUCUUCAGAUCCUUAGGGUCUACAUCUAUGAUACAUUCUAGUUAGUUUAGCAUCUCACCAGUUAUCUGAAUAAUACAUAAGCAUCCAGUACAAGGGCAUUUUUACCUUGGUACAUGGCAUCUCAUCAGUUAUCUGAAUAAUAAAUAAGCAUGCAGUACAAGGGCACUUUUACCUUGGGACAUGGCCAGGGGUGUAUGUGGUCCAUUUUUCCUGUCAUUAAGAAGUGCUGUUGAAGCCUCUUUCUUCUCACGGGCUUCACGACGUCUUUUAAGAAUAUCAUCUUUAUUGCGUGCAUAAUACUUUUUUUUCCUCUGCCUCUUCAAUUCUUCAAGGUAUGUUAUAAAUACAUACCGCAACUUAGCACAUAAGCAACAGCAAAACAGUAGAGCAAAGUAGGAACUGGUUGAUGAUAGUUACCCAAUGUCUGGUUGUUGCUUAUAUCCUGAAAUGGGGUGCGCGCCCCCGCACUAUUGGGAGAUGUCAUACCUUCACCUUCAUGUGAAUAUUCAUGCCAUUAAAUUUUGAGAAGCAUGGAAACUGUGGAAAUUAAUCAUGAACACCACCAUUAGAUGCAAACAUAGUACACUGUCCUUUCUCUUGAUAUUGUGUUUCAGCAGAGUUCUACUUUGACAUUAAAAUCAAUUUUGAAUGGCAGAUCCCCUUAUUGGACCACAUUAAGUUGUUGGCCCUGCUAUUUAACGUCCAUGGUGAUGCUGAUGAUGAUCUUGGCAGGGGUAAUGCUUUGAUUUCAUAGACCUGUUGCUUUGAUAGCUAGAGAACUAAUUUCUCAAGAGGACUUGAUUUAGUGUUCUUAUGAUAUUUUUUAGCUGGCGCUGUUUUUUUUUCAUGGAUUUUUUCUGUCCACUACAUCAUAAAUCUGGUAAUAUAAAAGUAAUAUCUAUUUUUGAUUAUGUAAUGACCGACUGUUAUCUUGCUUCUUACUCAUGUAUCUUCAGAUUUAUGUAUCUGCCUGGGGUCUUGGCAUGUCCUUGAGCACGCAUCAGGUAUCUAUGUAUCUGUUGGUAUCUUAGUGCACUUUGUAGUUUCAGAGUAGCACUCUAUAAUUUGGCACAUGCUGACAUGCCUAUGAGUGUAUAUGUAUGUGCAUGUGUACUGGCCAUAGGCCCGAGCUGAAACUAAUUAUGAUUAAUUUGCUCGUUCUGUGAUGUGCGCUUACAUUAAUACCAUUGGCACCUUUGUAAAUUCUAUAAGCUAAAUCCAAUAUUGUAGGUGUUCUGCGACAACUCAAGUCACCUUCGUAAAUUCAGAAAGCCAAGGAGACAGGGUGCAUGAUUCAGUUAGUUACAAAAUUGCAGUAGCCAAAACACUAACCAUGUUCCACAUAGAAAACCAUUAAUUACAGAUAUAAAACGAACGGCUUAUAGCAUUAUGCUGUGCAACUGUUUGUUUUUUAGAACUCUAUUCUGAAAAUUCUAAUCCUGUAUAAUGUUGCAAUAGGUGAAAGGAAGAAGUUGAACCUGAAGAAGGGCAGGGAAGAAUUAUAGCUUUGUGUGGCCGGCUGGUUCAGGGGACGUGCAGGGCGGGCGCGGCUCCGCGGGUGCCGAGGCAGGCUCCUGGGUGGCUAUCUCGCGGAUGGGCCACACUGCAAGGGCAGGUUCGUGGGCGCCCGCUAUCUUGCUGACGGAUUACACGCUGUGAGCAGCAACAAUCGGCGGUGGCGAUCUUGCAGGGAGGCGACCGAGCGGUGCAGUGCCGCGAGGUAUCGAUGCGGGCAGGAGACGGGGUUGGUGGGAGGCACCCUGAUCAAGGGCGAGGGAAGCUAAUUUAGUUGAGUUUCCUUAUUAGUUUGCGAUCACAAUUGCAUAAUUGUAGGGGACGUGGGCUGGUACUUGGAAUAUUCCUCCGGUGGUGGAGUACGGUCAGUCAUAGGAAUUUGCUAAGUGCACACCGUAGAGGUAUUAGAUCAAUGAUGGCUGUUAGAUUAGGACAUGUGGGACUAAUUGUGUGGUGUUGAUUGGUUCGUAUGUUUUGUGGUACUAAUUUUUGGGUGCACAUAAGAAAGUUCUUGUUUGAUUGUUUAAUAAUAGUGGAGAUGGAGAUAAUAUCUAUUUUUGAUUAUGUAAUGACCGACUGUUAUCUUGCUUCUUACUCAUGUAUCUUCAGAUUUAUGUAUCUGCCUGGGGUCUUGGCAUGUCCUUGAGCACGCAUCAGGUAUGUAUGUAUCUGUUGGUAUCUUAGUGCACUUUGUAGUUUCAGAGUAGCACUCUAUAAUUUGGCACAUACUGACAUGCCUAUGAGUGUAUAUGUAUGUGCAUGUGUACUGGCCAUAGGCCCGAGCUGAAACUAAUUAUGAUUAAUUUGCUCGUUCUAUGAUGUGCGCUUACAUUAAUACCAUUGGCACCUUUGUAAAUUCUAUAAGCUAAAUCCAAUAUUGUAGGUGUUCUGCGACAACUCAAGUCACCUUCGUAAAUUCAGAAAGCCAAGGAGACAGGGUGCAUGAUUCAGUUAGUUACAAAAUUGCAGUAGUCAAAACACUAACCAUGUUCCACAUAGAAAACCAUUAAUUACAGAUAUAAAACGAACGGCUUAUAGCAUUAUGCUGUGCAACUGUUUGUUUUUUAGAACUCUAUUCUGAAAAUUCUAAUCCUGUAUAAUGUUGCAAUAGGUGAAAGGAAGAAGUUGAACCUGAAGAAGGGUAGGGAAGAAUUAUAGCUUUGUGUGGCCGGCUGGUUCAGGGGACGUGCAGGGCGGGCGCGGCUCCGCGGGUGCCGAGGCAGGCUCCUGGGCAGUGGCUAUCUUGCGGAUGGGCCACACUGCAAGGGCAGGUUCGUGGGCGCCCGCUAUCUCGCUGACGGAUUACACGCUGUGAGCAGCAACAAUCGGCGGUGGCGAUCUUGCAGGGAGGCGACCGAGCGGUGCAGUGCCGCGAGGUAUCGAUGCGGGCAGGAGACGGGGUUGGUGGGAGGCACCCUGAUCAAGGGCGAGGGAAGCUAAUUUAGUUGAGUUUCCUUAUUAGUUUGCGAUCACAAUUGCGUGUGUAGGGGACGUGGGCUGGUACUUGGAAUAUUCCUCCGGUGGUGGAGUACGGUCAGUCAUAGGAAUUUGCUAAGUGCACAUCGUAGAGGUAUUAGAUCAAUGAUGGCUGUUAGAUUAGGACAUGUGGGACUAAUUGUGUGGUGUUGAUUGGUUCGUAUGUUUUGUGGUACUAAUUUUUGGGUGCACAUAAGAAAGUUCUUGUUUGAUUGUUUAAUAGUAGUGGAGAU
rnacentral:lncRNA from 1 species